AGUGUGAUUCGUCACACUAUCAUUAACUGAAUCCAUAGGUUAAUGAGGCGAACCGGGGGAACUGAAACAUCUAAGUACCCCGAGGAAAAGAAAUCAACCGAGAUUCCCCCAGUAGCGGCGAGCGAACGGGGAGGAGCCCAGAGCCUGAAUCAGCAUGUGUGUUAGUGGAAGCGUCUGGAAAGGCGCGCGAUACAGGGUGACAGCCCCGUACACAAAAGCGCAUGUGCUGUGAGCUCGAUGAGUAGGGCGGGACACGUGGUAUCCUGUCUGAAUAUGGGGGGACCAUCCUCCAAGGCUAAAUACUCCUGACUGACCGAUAGUGAACCAGUACCGUGAGGGAAAGGCGAAAAGAACCCCGGCGAGGGGAGUGAAAAAGAACCUGAAACCGUGU
rnacentral:rRNA from 1 species